rnacentral:rRNA from 1 species
UACGUAGGUGGCAAGCGUUGUCCGGAUUUACUGGGCGUAAAGAGCGCGCAGGCGGUCGUUCAAGUCGCGUUGUGAAAGCCCCCGGCUCAACUGGGGAGGGUCACGCGAUACUGAUCGACUCGAAGGCAGGAGAGGGAAGUGGAAUUCCCGGUGUAGUGGUGAAAUGCGUAGAUAUCGGGAGGAACACCAGUGGCGAAGGCGACUUCCUGGCCUGUUCUUGACGCUGAGGCGCGAAAGCUAGGGGGAGCAAACGGG